rnacentral:rRNA from 1 species
CACGUAGGGGGCAAGCGUUGUCCGGAUUUAUUGGGCGUAAAGAGCUCGUAGGCGGCUUAGUAAGUCGGGUGUGAAACCUCCAGGCUCAACCUGGAGACGCCACCCGAUACUGCUGUGGCUAGAGUCCGGUAGGGGAGCGUGGAAUUCCUGGUGUAGCGGUGAAAUGCGCAGAUAUCAGGAGGAACACCGGUGGCGAAGGCGGUUCUCUGGGAAUAUCCUGACGCUGAGGAGCGAAAGUGGGGGGAGCGAACAGG